AACGAACGCUGGCGGCAUGCCUAACACAUGCAAGUCGAACGAAACCUUCGGGUCUAUGGUCCCACGGGUUCGUAACCCGUGGGAACCUUCCCUUAUGUUCGGAAUAACUCCCCGAAUGGGGUGCUAAUACCGGAUAAUGUCUUCUGACCAAAGAUUUAUCGCCUUUGGAUGUGCCCUCGUUGGAUUAGCUAGUUGUUAGGGUAAAAGCCUACCAAGGCGACGAUCCAUAGCUGGUCUGAGAGGAUGAUCAGCCACACUGAGACUGGGACGCGGCCUAGAAUCUUACGGGAGGGAGCAGUGCGGAAUAUUGGAAAAUGGGCGAAAGGCUGAUCGAGCAAUGACGGGUAAAUGAUGAAGGUAUUGGAGUAGUAAAGCUUUUUUAACUAGGAUGAUAAUGACAGUACCGGGAGAAUAAGCCACGGCUAACUACGUG
rnacentral:rRNA from 1 species